UAAGGAAUAUUGGUCAAUGGACGCAAGUCUGAACCAGCCAUGCCGCGUGAAGGAUGAAGGUCCUCUGGAUUGUAAACUUCUUUUAUCUGGGACGAAAACGGGAUUUUUAUCUCAAUUGACGGUACCAGAGGAAUAAGCACCGGCUAACUCCGUGCCAGCAGCCGCGGUAAUACGGAGGGUGCGAGCGUUAUCCGGAUUUACUGGGUUUAAAGGGUGCGUAGGUGGGCUUAUAAGUCAGUGGUGAAAUCUCCGAGCUUAACUUGGAAACUGCCGUUGAUACUAUAGGUCUUGAAUUAUCUGGAGGUAAGCGGAAUAUGUCAUGUAGCGGUGAAAUGCUUAGAUAUGACAUAGAACACCCAUUGCGAAGGCAGCUUACUACAUAUAAAUUGACGCUGAGGCACGAAAGCGUGGGGAUCAAACA
rnacentral:rRNA from 1 species